AUACGGAGGGUGCAAGCGUUAUCCGGAAUCACUGGGUUUAAAGGGUGCGUAGGCGGCUUGGUAAGUCAGGGGUGAAAGUCUGCCGCUCAACGGUAGAAUUGCCUUUGAUACUGCCAGGCUUAAAUAAGCGCGAGGCAGGCGGAAUGUGGCAUGUAGCGGUGAAAUGCAUAGAUAUGCCAUAGAACACCAAUUGCGUAGGCAGCUUGCCAGAGCUUUAUUGACGCUGAGGCACGAAAGCGUGGGGAGCGAACAGGAUUAGAUACCCUAGUAGUCC
rnacentral:rRNA from 1 species